CCUACGGGGGGCAGCAGUGGGGAAUAUUGCACAAUGGAGGGAACUCUGAUGCAGCGACGCCGCGUGAGUGAAGAAGUAAUUCGUUAUGUAAAGCUCUAUCAGCAGGGAAGAAAGUGACGGUACCUGAAAAAGAAGCUCCGGCUAAAUACGUGCCAGCAGCCGCGGUAAUACGUAGGGGGCAAGCGUUAUCCGGAUUUACUGGGUGUAAAGGGAGCGUAGACGGCGGUGCAAGCCAGAUGUGAAAGCCCGGGGCUCAACCCCGGGACUGCAUUUGGAACUGUGCUGCUAGAGUGUCGGAGAGGCAGGCGGAAUUCCUAGUGUAGCGGUGAAAUGCGUAGAUAUUAGGAGGAACACCAGUGGCGAAGGCGGCCUGCUGGACGAUGACUGACGUUGAGGCUCGAAAGCGUGGGGAGCAAACAGGAUUAGAUACCCUUGUAGUC
rnacentral:rRNA from 1 species